GGGAAGGUGGCUCAGUGGUAGAGUGCUUGCUUUGGAUGCAGGAGGCCCUGCGUUUGCUUCCUCA
rnacentral:tRNA from 1 species